ensembl:lncRNA
UGCAAGCUGCAUCGAUUAUUGCAUUGUUCAUAGAAAGUCAUAAUUGUGACAAGGAAAAACUUUUUCUCUAAUAAAAAAAUAGAUCUGUUGAUUUAUCAAACACAAAGUAGGAAGUGAUUUGAGACUCUAAAUAGCAAACUCAAAUGUUUUAAAAAUUGAGAUGCAUCGAUAAUCGUUUUAUCGGUUUAGAAUUGAUAAUCGGUUUAGAAUCGAGAAUCGGCUUAGAAUCGAGAAUCGGUUUAGAAUCGAAUCGUUGACCUCUGAAUCGGAAUCGAAUCGAAUCGUGAGGUGCCAAGAGAUUCCCACCCCUACUAUACGAUAUCAUCGACCAAAAAUCAGUUUAAAAAAGAAAAGAAAAGGGAAAACAGGAUUACCAGGAUGACUUUUGUAGGCUAUUUAAUUUGAAGUAACCUACUAUGACUUUGUGUCAAGUAACCAAAAGUAUAAGUACAAUGCCUUCAAGAUCGUAGUUAUACUUUCCUUAUUUGUAAAAUGUUUGUGAAUUGUGAAUUGCAUCUUACUUCUACAGUCAUACUCUUUCCUCACCCGAGGCUACCUCACAGGUAGGCAACUUUCCCUGUCAUUUGAAGUGCUACCUUUUAUUUAAGUAUGUGGGGCCAAGGUAUGUAGGCCAACCUCUUAAAUUCACAUCUGUUUUAAAGUCCAUUGUUUGAUUUUCUGUGUGUGUUUUUAUAGGGAUGUGUGUGUGUAUGUGUGUGUGUGUGUGGGGGGGGGUGGUAUAGGUGGGUAGACUAAAAGGGUGAUGAGACGUCUUGUAAUUCACUAAUGUAUGGUAUUACGUCCAGUAGGAGGAUUUUGGCAGAGGACGUUUUAGGCACAAGGUCAGUACUGAUGCAUUGCUAGCUAUCCAGCUGUGUCGAACGUUAUCUCCGCCAGAGAGGUUAUGUUUACGUUGCCAUUUGUUUGUCUGUUUGUCAGCAGGAUUACUACAAGGAAACGACUCGGUCGAUUUUCAUUAAACGUAGGGUUUGGCAUAAACCAAGGAAGAACCCGUUACAUUUUGGAAUUGAUCCAAAUCAGGGGGCGAAGCCAUUCAUAAUUUACCUCCUUCGUUAAAAUUGAGCAUUUGUCCUUGGAGGAGGUUGCGCUGCCUGCCGGAGUGCGAGUCGGUUCAUAACAUUGCCCAAUGGAAACGGGACUGACUACACGAUUUUCGGCUGCGAGAAAAGACUCACUGUGUCUUAUGUAGCAACAAUACUAAAAGUCAGUUGAUUCAAACACCGAAUCUGCUGAGAAAAUAACACAAAAGUUGAAAAAAAAAUCCGCACCUUUAUACACCAUCUUGCUGAUUUUCUCAGUAGGCUAGAUCAUAUCAUACAAACUUUUAGCCGUAGCUCAUUCACCACCACGGUCUGUUAGUAGAAAUCAUUAUUAAUGGUUAUUAGUGGUUUUCCUUACAUACACCAACGUGCUGCCUUUCACAUAAUCUAUGUUUAAUGUUAAAUGUAACCAAAGCAUUUCUGCAUACAGAAAGAUCAGGGUGACUAUUCACUUGGUUCCCCAUAGGAAAAACCUAUUGAACCAACACUCCGUAGGCUACCGGGCUGCAAAAUGACCACAUAUCUUCAGCUUUAAAGGGUGUUUAUCGUGGUUGGCUACCAUAGUUUAACGUUACUGCACAAAAAAGAAACCCUUAAUGCGAACGUUACCUGCGGCCAACGAUGAGAUUGCGGAUCACCCUUCGUUGCCUGUUGAUGUCUUUGAGCUAUAGCCUUUGACUGACUCAGUGUAGGCGAAUAUAUAAUAGAUAGCCUGCCCUAAAUCCCCAGUCUCCGUGAAAACGGUAAGGCAUUGAGGAUGUCACUCAUGGUGACAUCUCUGUCGACGUUCGUCUCAGCGCCUAAAUCAGCGAGGUCGUGUGCCAUAAUUCAAGGAAAAACACUAAGUUAUCCUGCAUGGAAAGAUCACACGUUUCCUACACCGUGUUAUGGCGUACAUCAGUAUGAAUCAUUGGUCCUCCUAGGUCCGUGGGGGUGCGGUGGGGGGGAUUAGGACGAUUCCAAGAGCCUGAAAAGGGGGCCCCUCAUAGAAACUAAUCAGAAUCAUGAUGUUUAU